UCGUCAAACUAACGCGAGAGGAUGACUUCACUGUGCGCAGGCGCAAUUCCUUGCCAAAACAACAACAGUAGCCAACAGAGUAGAAGCUACAAGCUCACCGCGAAAAGUUUGAAAGAGCGUUUCCAAAACAGAGAUUUGCUGCCUGGAAGUCCUGGAAAUGGAGGACCAUCAUACAGACCUGCUGAAGCUGCUGGGUUUUGACGACGACGACGGCAGCGGCUGGCCCCUGACUCAAGUUAUGUUAUUUGUUGCCCCUGUGGGUAAGAAAUAGCAUUUCUUGGGUGUGAAAGGGGAGGGAGGGAGGG